rnacentral:misc_RNA from 1 species
AGCAGCCGCGGUAAUUCCAGCUCCAAUAGCGUAUAUUAAAGUUGUUGCAGUUAAAAAGCUCGUAGUUGAAUUUCGGGAUCAAUAUAUCGGUCGUGCCUUGGUACGUACUGGUAUCAUUGGUCUCUCCUUUCUGACGAACCAUGAUGUCAUUAAUUUGGUGUUAUGGGAAGUUAGGACUGUUACUUUGAAAAAUUAGAGUGUUUAAAGCAGGCUUUGGCUUGAAUACAUUAGCAUGGAAUAAUGAAAUAGGACGUUCGAACCUAUUUUGUUGGUUUCUAGGAUCAACGUAAUGAUUAAUAGGGAUAGUUGGGGGCAUUAGUAUUCAAUUGUCAGAGGUGAAAUUCUUGGAUUUAUUGAAGACUAACUACUGCGAAAGCAUUUGCCAAGGAUGUUUUCAUUAAUCAAGAACGAAAGUUAGGGGAUCGAAGACGAUCAGAUACCGUCGUAGUCUUAACCAUAAA